rnacentral:rRNA from 1 species
AUGAUUAAAGAUAGCUUGCUAUUUUUAUGAAGAGCGGCGAACGGGUGAGUAACGCGUGGGAAAUCUGCCGAGUAGCGGGGGACAACGUUUGGAAACGAACGCUAAUACCGCAUAACAAUGAGAAUCGCAUGAUUCUUAUUUAAAAGAAGCAAUUGCUUCACUACUUGAUGAUCCCGCGUUGUAUUAGCUAGUUGGUAGUGUAAAGGACUACCAAGGCGAUGAUACAUAGCCGACCUGAGAGGGUGAUCGGCCACACUGGGACUGAGACACGGCCCAGACUCCUACGGGAGGCAGCAGUAGGGAAUCUUCGGCAAUGGGGGCAACCCUGACCGAGCAACGCCGCGUGAGUGAAGAAGGUUUUCGGAUCGUAAAACUCUGUUGUUAGAGAAGAACGUUAAGUAGAGUGGAAA